GAUGCAAUCAAUUAACUUAGUUCCCUGAAGAUCACAAUAAUGCGUGAAACUCUGAGUAGAAAAAAAAUUUUAAGCACGAAAGUGAUUAAUUUACUCCACUUUAUUUCGAGUAUUGAACUCUCUUUUUUAUACGUUACGACCAAUAUUAUAUAUGGAUAUUUAAAUGGCAGAAGUUUGAAAACUCGCUGAGGUAAAGAUAUAACUAAUACCGUAACACAGUAGACUAUAGUAGUUAAAUGUCGAAUUGUGAAAUGCUUGAAGCAUAAGCAGUUAUAGGUUGAGGCUGAGCAUGACAUCAAAAAUGAUCUGGCAUUGACGAGAACUAUGUUAUCACUGGAAACGAAGCUGAUUGAAGUCUGUAUAAUUCUUGAUGCAUGACAAAUUUUUUAAAUUUUGGGUAAUUUGGAUGAAAAUUGCAUAAACAAUAGACCUUUCCCCUUAUGAGUGAAAUUUUGAUCUAGAUAUGCCUGGACAAAAAUUUCAUCACAGUUUGAAAGAGCAUCACAAAAUUAGUAAUAUUCCGAAGUUUCGUUGCGAAAUGAUGUAAAAUGCGGAUAAUAUAGCGUUACGAGGUUUGCCGUUUUUCAGUCAUUUUGCA